UACGUAGGGUGCGAGCGUUGCUCGGAAUUACUGGGCGUAAAGCGUGCGCAGGCGGUUCGCUGUGUCCUGUGUGAAAGCCCCGGGCUUAACCUGGGAAUGGCAUGGGAAACUGGCGAGCUUGAGUGCGGCAGAGGGGGGUGGAAUUCCGCGUGUAGCAGUGAAAUUCGUAGAUAUUCGGAAGAACACCAGUGGCGAAGGCGGCUCACUGGCCCGGUACUGACGCUGAGGUGCGAAAGCGUGGGGAGCAAACAGG
rnacentral:rRNA from 1 species